GAUGUUUUGAUAAUGUGAACAGUGGCCCACCUCGCUUUGAUGGAGGAGAACGCAGAUUUGGUGACAGGGAUGGGUACCGUUCUGGUCCUCGUGCACCAGGGGGUGAUUUUGGUGACAAGGGUGGAGCACCUGCUGACUACAGACCUUCUUUCGGGGGUAGUAGGCCUGGCUUUGGUCGUGGUGCCGGUGGAUCUGGUGGAGCUGGUGGUUUUGGUGCUGGCCCAGCAAGCUCUGAUCUCUCCUAAGGAAAUGGUUUACCUAGACACCGUUUGGUUUCCUAAGUUUGCAUUUAAGAGCGGAUGACAUUCUGUAUUAUGAGACAAUAGCAGUUUUGUUUGCCCAGCAGUCUUGGGAUUGUAUUAGAUAUUUGUUUUUAUUCUAUAUGGUCUUUUGAUCGCACUUUGCAAAAUUUAUUUUAUCUGUCAUCUAUAUAUGUCGUUGAGAAA